UGGAAAGCCGCUUCUUAAGAAUCCAUCAUUUGUGCAAAGGACCCGCUAGUGUAGUGGUUUGGAGUAUUUACUCCCUCAGGCAAGGUCCUGGGUUUGAGUCCUAGCAUCCGUGUUGUGUGUGUGAGUUUAAUAUGCUAUCGCCCCUUUCAAUAGAAAAGGUCCUAAAAAAAAUAAAAAUAAAUAAAAAGAACCCAUCAUUUGUUUAUACGUUACUUUGUCUGGUGUACUUAUUUUUGCAAGCUUCAAAGAAGAUCAUAGAUAAGAUAAUUUAUUUGGAAGUAUCCCGCCAUUCCAGGCCCAAUCAAAUACUUAAGGUCUGUUUGUUACACAAGCUUAGCUUGGCCUGGCUUGGAGCCUAGCUUGGACUACAUUUUAGUCUCAUGUUUAUUUCAUCUAAUCCUAGUCUUGGAUGAGAUUGCUAAUACCGGUCCACCAAAAAUACCUUCUUAGGAGGAGGCUAUUAAACCCAUGUGGAAAGGGAGGACUAGUUCCAUACUCACCAAUGUAUAAGAUGCAUAUAUUAUAUUGUAAUAAUAAUAACAUAUAUUAUUAUUCUUAUUAUUAUAUACCCAUAUAUAUAUAUAUAUUAUAUUUUAUAUACACACACACACACAUAUAUAUAAUAUGUAUAUAC
rnacentral:lncRNA from 1 species